rnacentral:rRNA from 1 species
AGUGAACGCUGGCGGCAGGCCUAACACAUGCAAGUCGAGCGGCAGCGCGGGGGCAACCCUGGCGGCGAGCGGCGGACGGGUGAGGAAUUCGUCGGAAUCUGCCUUUUUGUGGGGGAUAACGUAGGGAACCUUACGCUAAUACCGCAUACGUCCUACGGGAGAAAGUGGGGGACCGCAAGGCCUCACGCAGAAAGAUGAGCCGACGACCGAUUAGCUAGUUGGUGGGGUAAAGGCCCACCAAGGCGACGAUCGGUAGCUGGUCUGAGAGGAUGAUCAGCCACACUGGGACUGAGACACGGCCCAGACUCCUACGGGAGGCAGCAGUGGGGAAUAUUGGACAAUGGGCGCAAGCCUGAUCCAGCCAUGCCGCGUGUGUGAAGAAGGCCUUCGGGUUGUAAAGCACUUUUGUCCGGAAAGAAAUCCCUGGAGCUAAUACCUUCGGGGGAUGACGGUACCGGAAGAAUAAGCACCGGCUAACUUCGUG